CUAAGGUGAGGCUUUAACUUAGUAAAGAGAUAUUCUGCAAAUCUUAUUGAUAGUUUUGUGUUGUGGCUUUUGUAAAUCUUAUUGAUGGUUUCGACAGAACCGAGCCUUCACAUGGAGGUAGAGGGAGAAGAUGAGUUCAGGGAAGAGUGAGGCGUGUGUGUGUUAGUUUAUGUGUAAGAGUUUUGUUUUUUGGUUUAGGUAAUGAUGAACUUUGUCAAAAGUUGGAAUCUUUGAUUCUUGAUUUACAACAAGACUUACAAAAAACUUGUUUUUGGUAAAAAUUUGUUUAUUACAUAUCUCCAACUUUUAUUACAUAUCUCCAUGUUCCUUCUGAUCCCAUUUAUGUUUCUCGUGUAACCACAAGAAUGGAACACACUUUUAGUAGUCCUAUCUUUUUUUCAAAUAACUUCUUGGGGUUUGAGGAGGUGGUCUUCUUAUUCCCUGGAGGAUGGCCGGAUUCUAACAAGUGAAUACUCUUCUUCUCUUCUCCUCUCUUGCCGUAUGUUUUGUGUAUUGAAUGGUCUCCUUUGAAGAACAUAAUAUUGACAAAAGAAUCUUCAAAAUUUUUAAACACCCUAAAACAAGAGCCUUGCAAUGGAGGAGGAAAAAUGUCAAGUUGCUUAGCUAAGUCUCUUACCCAAAUUAUCUCCUUAAAUACUAUUAUUAUAUUAUUAAGCAACCCAUUAUGAGUUGGUAGGAUAAUGAUGCUCUUAGUUCCAUUUGAAAAUCCCGUUAUCUGUAAUCAGAUACAAUAAAAGCCAUUAAACGAACAAAAGGAAUAAAAGAACAAAUUAACAAACA